CCUUCUUCUUCUUUUCCUUCUUCUUCUUUUCCUUCUUAUUAAAUCUAUUGGCAAUGGCUGAUAUUUGAUCUGGUAUUUGAAUCACUUGACAAAAAUCUAAUGGAGCUUUCAGUAUCUUAUAUCCACUAUCUUCUUCUGAGAUCCUAGAAGUAGAAAAGCAUGAUGAAGAA
rnacentral:ribozyme from 1 species